rnacentral:misc_RNA from 1 species
AUGCUUAGAGACUUUUCCUUGGAGAUUUAUGAUAAACGGGAGCUCCAAUUCAUGACUCGAUCUUCGAAGCAUUGACAACAUGGAAAACAAGAAAGUGUUUUUGUUGUUUUUUUCCUCAUCUGUUGGCUCUUUUCCUUCAUUGAUGACUUUAUUGGGGUCCAAUUUCUGGUCUAUUCGCCAUUAACGAGUUCAUUUGAGCUCGAAAAUUGCCUUCUCUGAUGGGGAGAGAGAGCACGUACUCACGCGAGGAUGGGCGCUAAUGGUGGGCACGUGUAAAGUGGAUCACGAUUAGGCAGGGUGUGGGGUCCACCGUUUGUGGUGUGCCAACAGUCAACCGAAAAUGCAAAGGGUAAGACACUGAAGACUCAGCUCCCUGGACCGUGCAGUGCAAAAAUAUUAGUGUGUUCUUUUUAAAGAGUGGGGCAACCUCAUCGCUCUCUCAUGUGAUGGGGCGCGGGCCCCAAAAAGGGUGGGCUCUAAGGGACUGUUUCGACAUAGUUUACAGGG